rfam:Bacillus clausii KSM-K16 DNA, complete genome.
GGGGACGUUUUGGAUUCGACAGGGAUAGGUCGAGCUUGCGUUGCGAGCCGAGGGGUCGGCCUCGUAAAAACGCACAAGCCAAUAACUGGCAAAGAAAACAACAACUUCGCUCUAGCUGCAUAAGCUAAGCGGUCUCUCCUCUCCAUCGCCCAUGUGGAGUGGCUGAGACUCAACUUUAGUGGGAUACGCCUUUCUCCCCCCGCCUGAGGGAGAAGGAAGAGACUAAUCAGGCUAGCUGCACGGAGGCCUGUCUUUGGGCUGAAGUGCUAGCGAAAUACGAAUACAAAGACUACGCUCGUAGAAGCGUAAGUGUCGUUAUCUCUGGACGUGGGUUCAAUUCCCACCGUCUCCAUAU